GCUUCGAUAGCUUAGUUGGUAAAGCGCUAAUCUGAAGAAUUAGAUACCGAUUGUUCGAGUCAAUCUCGAAGCA
rfam:Serendipita vermifera MAFF 305830 unplaced genomic scaffold scaffold_217, whole genome shotgun sequence.